rnacentral:rRNA from 1 species
GAUGAACGCUGGCGGUGUGUCUAAUACAUGAAAGUCGAGCGAACGGACGUGAAGCUUGCUUCUCUGAUGUUAGCGGCGGACGGGAGAGUAACACGUGGAUAACCUACCUAUAAGACUGGGAUAACUUCGGGAACCCGGAGCUAAUACCGGAGAAUAUUUUGAAACGAAUGCUUCAAAAGUGAAACACGAUCAUGCCGACACUUAUAGAAUUAUCCGCUCUGCAUUAGCUAGUUGGUAAGGUAACGGCUUACUAAGGCAACGAUGCAUAGCCGUCCUGAGAGGGUGAUUUGCCACACUUGAACUGAGACUCGGUCCAGACUCCUACGGGAGGCGGCAGUAGUGAAUGUUCCGCAAAGGGCGAAAGCCUUACGGAGCAACGCCGCGUGAGUGAUGAAGGUCUUCGGAUCGUAAAACUCUGUUAUUAGGGAAGAACAUAUCUGUAAGUAACUGUGCACAUCUUGACGGUGCUUAAUCAGAAAGCCACGGCUAACUUUGUG